rnacentral:rRNA from 1 species
ACGUAGGGUGCGAGCGUUGUCCGGAAUUAUUGGGCGUAAAGAGCUUGUAGGCGGUUUGUCGCGUCUGCUGUGAAAGACCGGGGCUCAACUUCGGUUUUGCAGUGGAUACGGGCAUGCUUGAGGUAGGUAGGGGAGACUGGAAUUCCUGGUGUAGCGGUGAAAUGCGCAGAUAUCAGGAGGAACACCGGUGGCGAAGGCGGGUCUCUGGGCCUUACCUGACGCUGAGGAGCGAAAGCGUGGGGAGCGAACAGGA